rnacentral:rRNA from 1 species
GAUGAACGCUGGCGGCGUGCUUAACACAUGCAAGUCGAACGGGAAACCUUUUAUUGUGGCUUCUGCAGGUUUAGCUGGUUUCUAGUGGCGGCCGGGUUAAUAACGCGUUGGUAACCUGCCUUAUACAGGGGGAUAACACCCAGACAUGGUUGCUAAUACCGCAUAAGCGUACAGGACCGCAUGUUCCGGUGUGUAGAACUCCGGUGGCAUAAGAUGGACCCGCGUGUGGGUAGCUAGGUGGCAGGGUAACGGCCUACCAAGGCGGCGAUGCAUAGCCGGCCGGAGAGGGUGAACGGCCACGUUGGGACUGAGACACGGCCCAGACUGCUACGGGAGGCAGCAGUGGGGAAUAUUGCACAAUGGGGGAAACCCUGAUGCAGCGACGCCGCGUGAAAGAAGAAGUAUCUCGGUAUGUAAACUUCUAUCAGAAGGGAAGAUAGUGACGGUACCUGACUAAGAAGCCCCGGCUAACUACGUG